rnacentral:rRNA from 1 species
GAUGAACGCUAGCUACAGGCUUAACACAUGCAAGUCGAGGGGUUUCAAUGGAGCUUGCUCCAGCGGAACGACCGGCGCACGGGUGAGUAACGCGUAUCCAACCUUCCCGUUACUCAGGGAUAGCCUUCCGAAAGGGAGAUUAAUACCUGAUGGUGUUGAAAUUCCGCAUGUUAUUUCAACUAAAGAUUUAUCGGUAACGGAUGGGGAUGCGUGACAUUAGGUAGUAGGUGAGGUAACGGCUCACCUAGCCGACGAUGUCUAGGGGUUCUGAGAGGAAGGUCCCCCACACUGGAACUGAGACACGGUCCAGACUCCUACGGGAGGCAGCAGUGAGGAAUAUUGGUCAAUGGACGAGAGUCUGAACCAGCCAAGUAGCGUGCAGGAUGACGGCCCUCUGGGUUGUAAACUGCUUUUAGUUGGGAAUAAAAAGAGGGACGUGUCCCUAAUUGUAUGUACCAUCAGAAAAAGGACCGGCUAAUUCCGUG